GGUGAAGAUGAUGACGGUAACCCGAGAAGAAGCCCCGGCUAACUUCGUGCCAGCAGCCGCGGUAAUACGAAGGGGGCGAGCGUUGUUCGGAAUUACUGGGCGUA
rnacentral:rRNA from 1 species